rnacentral:rRNA from 1 species
AACGAACGCUGGCGGCAGGCUUAACACAUGCAAGUCGAGCGCGCCCUUCGGGGUGAGCGGCGAACGGGUGAGUAACGCGUGGGAACGUGCCCCUUUCUUCGGAAUAGCCCUGGGAAACUGGGAGUAAUGCCGGAUACGCCCUUAUGGAGUGAUCCAUGGGGGGAAAGAUUUAUCGGAGAGGGAUCGGCCCGCGUUGGAUUAGGUAGUUGGUGGGGUAAUGGCCUACCAAGCCGACGAUCCAUAGCUGGUUUGAGAGGAUGAUCAGCCACACUGGGACUGAGACACGGCCCAGACUCCUACGGGAGGCAGCAGUGGGGAAUCUUGGACAAUGGGGGCAACCCUGAUCCAGCCAUGCCGCGUGAUCGAUGAAGGCCUUAGGGUUGUAAAGAUCUUUCAGCUGGGAAGAUAAUGACGGUACCAGCAGAAGAAGCCCCGGCUAACUCCGUGCCAGCAGCCGCAGUAACAC